GUCGGUUAAAUACCGACCUGCAUGAAUGGCGUAACGAGAUGGGAGCUGUCUCAAAGAGGGAUCCAGUGAAAUUGUAGUGGAGGUGAAAAUUCCUCCUACCCGCGGCAAGACGGAAAGACCCCGUGGACCUUUACUACAGCUUGACACUGCUACUUGGAUAAGAAUGUGCAGGAUAGGUGGGAGGCUUUGAGUAUAUGACGCCAGUUGUAUAUGAGCCAUUGUUGAGAUACCACUCUUUCUUAUUUGGGUAGCUAACCAGCUUGA
rnacentral:rRNA from 1 species